rnacentral:lncRNA from 1 species
GCCGGGGCGUCAGGCUCUGUGUUGGUUGGAGCGAGCAUGUGGGUCUGCAGUACCCUGUGGCGGGUGCGAACCCCCGCCCGGCAGUGGCGGGGGCUGCUCCCAGCUUCUGGCUGUCACGGACCUGCCGCCUCCUCCUACUCCGCAUCCGCCGAGCCUGCCCGGGUCCGGGCGCUUGUCUAUGGGCACCACGGGGAUCCAGCCAAGGUCGUCGAGUAAUAAAGCAUUGUGUCAGGGAAGACAUCUCACUAAGGACUGCGUUGUAAGGAACUGGUACAGCUCUGAUGAACACUCCUCCAUUUCCAGGAAUGUACCCCAAAUGAGAACCAUGUAGUGUCUCUCCCACGGACUUGUAGUUUGUGUCUGCAGCAGGACCUGCCACAAAACAGAACCGUAAUUCCUGGGCACACAUGGCAGCUCAGAAAUGUUGCCUGACCUACUUUGAGGAGAUGAUUUGAGCGAAACACCCAUUCUAGCCUGGAUGACAUGAACAUCUCCGUUUGGCUUUGUGCUUAGACUCAAGAACCUGGAGCUAGCUGCUGUGAGAGGAUCAGAUGUCCGUGUGAAGAUGCUGGCGGCCCCUAUCAAUCCAUCUGACAUA